ensembl:lncRNA
GUUUGUACUCUAUACUGUCGUCAUGGCCCAUGGAAUAUUAUAGGAACCCAAAGGGAAAUAAAUGACAAUCUAGAAACCUCAAGAUGCAUAUCUUACCCCAGAUAACAAACAUUUUCUUUGAAGAGCAUAUCAUCCAUUACCUACUGUGCCAUUUGUAUUGCACUACAGCCAAGCUAAGAUCUGUUACCAGCCGGUCCUGGCCCCAUAGCAUCAGAGCCAGACCGAGGCUCCUGCGGUGGAGGAAUGGGUACAGCGCUCCAAGGACACCUGGAAAGCUGUUCAGGAUUCACUAAGGCCGGUGGUGGCUGGUCCCCUGCAAGAAGGUGAGGUGCCUGAGGUCCCUCCACCCCCUCUGGACAUCGAGGGGUCCCCGGCGUGCACAGUUCGGGGCAUUCUGGAGACGCCGGGUGGGGGGCCUACAGUACCUCGUGGACUGGGAGGGGUACGGUCCGGAGGAGAGAUGCUGGGUUCCGGUGGGGGACAUUUUGGACCCUUCUCUCCUGAGAGAUUUCCACCGCCUCCACCCGGAUCGCCCAGCACCUCGUCCUCCGGGUCGUCCUCGAGGCCGGUGGCGGCGCGCUGCGGGGGCCGCGCGUCAGGGGGGGGUACUGUCACGACUUCCGCC